UUCAGCGUCCAAAAAUGUGCAAAGACUAUAGUCUUUGGUGUUUUCCGCGUCGAAAAAUGUGCAAAGACUAUAGUCUUUGGUAUUUUUCGCGUCCAAAAAUGUGCAAAGGCUAUAGUCUUCGGUGGAAUAUUUUGAGUGAUUACGUAGCAGUCAAUCGCGAACUUGCGAUUCGGUAUUUGAUCAUAUUGUAGCGCCACGUACGUGGACCCUUCUUUUUCGAGGCAACGGCAGUACGACCGCAGCAGCCGAAGCGACGUGGUCAUCGGGAGCGACAUCGAUGGUAGCGCGUACGUACACAUCCUUUGAGGAGAGAUAGAAGAAGCCAGCGAGGUGAGAGAGACAUCGAUAUAUUUGGGCUCUCAAUUCGUCGUCACAGUGCCUUGAUCAUCGCAGUACCUAUUCAACUUCCAACCACGAAGGACAGGACUUCCAUGGCAUCGCACAAUUCGUUUACAGGUGAUUAUAAUAAUAUAUUCAAUGCAAUAUAUUAUAACAACACAUUGGCAGUAAUAUAUUUACAUAAAAUAUAAUAUGACAUAUAAUUAAUGUAUCGACAUAGAAUAUAAUAUUGGUAAUAAUAUGUUCUUAUAUGCAUCUUAUUAAUAAUCAAUCUUCCAUAUGUUUCAGGUACUCGGAGAUGCUGCCGCCGCAGUUAUGACCCCCUGGACUUCCCCUGUUCAUCAGGGGGAGUCCAGGGACUCGUCCCCUGGGACUGCGCGGCCUCC